CGGCGUGUAGCUCAGAAGCCAGAGCACCGACCUGCACAGUCGGAGGGCGCAGGGGCAGGACCUGCCACGCCGGCCA
rnacentral:tRNA from 1 species